rnacentral:rRNA from 1 species
CCGCAAGGUUGAAACUCAAAGGAAUUGACGGGGGCCCGCACAAGCGGUGGAGCAUGUGGUUUAAUUCGAAGCAACGCGAAGAACCUUACCAGGUCUUGACAUCCUUUGACCACUCUAGAGAUAGAGCUUUCCCUUCGGGGACAAAGUGACAGGUGGUGCAUGGUUGUCGUCAGCUCGUGUCGUGAGAUGUUGGGUUAAGUCCCGCAACGAGCGCAACCCUUAUUGUUAGUUGCCAUCAUUUAGUUGGGCACUCUAGCGAGACUGCCGGUGACAAACCGGAGGAAGGUGGGGAUGACGUCAAAUCAUCAUGCCCCUUAUGACCUGGGCUACACACGUGCUACAAUGGGAAGUACAACGAGUCGCUAGACCGCGAGGUCAUGCAAAUCUCUUAAAGCUUCUCUCAGUUCGGAUUGCAGGCUGCAACUCGCCUGCAUGAAGCCGGAAUCGCUAGUAAUCGCGGAUCAGCACGCCGCGGUGAAUACGUUCCCGGGCCUUGUACACACCGCCCGUCACACCACGAGAGUUUGUAACACCCGAAGUCGGUGAGGUAACCUUUUUGGAGCCAGCCGCCUAAGGUGGGAUAGAUGAUUGGGGUGAAGUCGUAACAAGGUAGCCGUAUCGGAAGGUGCGGCUGGAUCACCUCCUUUCUAAGGAA